CAAGCGUUGUUCGGAAUUACUGGGCGUAAAGGGCUCGUAGGUGGCCAACUAAGUCGGACGUGAAAUCCCUCGGCUUAACCGGGGAACUGCGUCCGAUACUGGUUGGCUUGAGUUUGGGAGAGGGAUGUGGAAUUCCAGGUGUAGCGGUGAAAUGCGUAGAUAUGUGGAGGAACACCGAUGGCGAAGGCAGCCCCCUGGGUUAACACUGACGCUCAUGCACGAAAGCGUGGGGAGCAAACAGG
rnacentral:rRNA from 1 species